GAAAAGUGCGCACCUGAGUCCGUGUUGCUUUCAUAUUCAAGCACCAGAGUUUGUUUGGAAGUGGACCAAGACCCAUCUUUUUAGGGCACUUUCACACUAGCACUUUGGUGCUCAGCCAGGUUCCAGGGAUGUCAGAGUUUGUUACGUUUGGCUAGUGUGAAAGUUGUCAUAAGAUUGCAGGUGCGCACCGGGGUACCGAACCUGAGACUACCUGAAGGAGGUGGUCUGAGUUCGAUUGCACUCAAACUGUGGUGCGGUUCGAAUGAAAUAUGAACGCAACAUUGACCAAAUAUUUCUAAACGAACCAAAAACAGAAAGUAAUGACAAGAUGCGGCGCUUUGCAACAUGAUUUGAUGACAUGGAAUAAGCGAUAUAUCCAAAACAAAAGGAGCAGAGGACAAACGUGGAGCAACGAGGAGGUCAGCCAUCUGAAAACUCCUGCCAGGGUAAGGGAGAGCCUGCGCUGUUAUCUCCGCCUUCUUGAAACUUUUUCAGGCUUCUGAUUGGCCAACAUGGCUUUACAGUUGAGAUUAUAUCACCACCUGUUGGUUUGGCAUGCUCUUGACAGUGUAUCAUUGUGUGCAUUUGCGUUUUCAUGUGGACAGAGAUUUUUUUAAAACGAAAGAAGGAAAAAAUGUUUAUAAAAAUACCUGUGUACAUGUGGACAUGGCCUCAGUUUAUUUGAUGUUUUUAAACAAUACAGAGCACCGGUGGUAACCAGAGACAGGAAGCAGCAGAUUAGAAGCAAAGUAGCUUGCUCUCACUGAAGUGGAUAUUUCUAGGGCACAUCUCAAGAUACGCUUUCAUUGCCAUUUAGAAACUGAAUCCCAUUCCAUGCCGCCCCAUUAUUAGACACAUAUUCAUGUCAAAUUCCCAAAGGAGAAAUCAGUUCUCUUACACAGAUUUAACAGCAUAUUAUGAAUGUAUUAUUUGUGUGCAUGGUUAUAUGUUACCGUCUUAGGCUAAUCUGUGAGCAUUCACAUGUAUGUCAAUAAAAAAAGGCCUUUUAAAAUGUUCUUAUGCAAACACACAAUAACUCAGAUCCCAC
rnacentral:lncRNA from 1 species